AAGUCGUAACAAGGUUUCCGUAGGUGAACCCGCGGAAGGAGCAUUAACACGUAUCCAACGUUUAUCGAUACCCGUUGCUUGAUGAUUCGUUGCGGAGAUGGCCUUACUGAGGGACUUUGUGGCUUGCUCUGACAUGCGGAACGACGAGAAGAAUGUGAAGCUCGUUUCGGCUGGCUUCCGAAUCAUUGUACUUGGGCGUCUUCGAAGUCGCGCUGGUUCCUAGAGAACUAAGUUUCCUCGAUGUUUUGUGGGCCGUGCUUCAGCCAAAAGCUGAAGUCGGAAAAACCCGAACAACUGUUAGCAAUGGAUCUCUUGGCUCUC
rnacentral:misc_RNA from 1 species